rnacentral:rRNA from 1 species
GAUGAACGCUGGCGGCGUGCUUAACACAUGCAAGUCGAACGGAAAGGCUCCUGCUUUCAUUGUUUCUCGAGUGGCGAACGGGUGAGUAUCACGUGGGUGAUCUGCCCUUCUCUUCGUGAUAUGCCUGGGAAACUGCGUCUAUUAUCGGAUAUGACGUUGGUUUGGAUGCCAUUGUGGAAUGUUUUUUCGGUAUGAGAUGGGCUCUCGGCCUAUCAGCUUGUUGGUGGGGUAUUGGCCUACCAAGGCGUCGGCGGGUAGCCGGCCUGAGAAGGUGUACGGCGACAAUGGGACUGAGAGACGGACCAGAAUGCAACGGGAGGCAGAAGUGGGGAAUAUUGCAGAAUGAGAGCAAGCCUGAUGCAGAGAGGCAGCGUGGGGGAUGACGGCCUUCGGGUUGAAAACACCUUUCGAAAGGGAAGAAGCGAAAGUGACGGUACCUAGAGAAGAAGCACCGGCUAACUACGUG